UUUAUGUUUUAGUACACAACUAAGCAUUAAGAAUAAACCUCGUUGUGGGUGAUACUAUAGUUGUUAGAGAUGGCUAAGCUUUCUUUCGCACAAAUAUUUAUGGUUACCCUUAUCAUUUUAGUUAUUUCAAAGACAAGCGAAGCGGAUAGAUGUCAGAAAGUGAUACAGCCAAGCAACUGCAAUCUUGGAAAAUGUCAGGCGGAUUGCAGCUUCCAAUAUCGAGACUAUCGCGGCAUUGGAAAGUGUAUUGGCGGCAGUAAUGCAACUUUUCAAUGUGUUUGCUUCUAUGACUGUGGAGCUCCAUCAAGUUUAGUGUAAACUUAUAGAGUGAUAAUAUAUAUCUACUCUAUUUUAGAGCCUACAACCUUUUUGAUUAAAUAAUUAGUUUAUGAAACUUUUAUUCACAUUUAAAUAA